ACGAACGCUGGCGGCAGGCCUAACACAUGCAAGUCGAGCGGACCCUUCGGGGUUAGCGGCGGACGGGUGAGUAACGCGUGGGAAUAUGCCCUUCUCUACGGAAUAGUCCUGGAAACUGGGGGUAAUACCGUAUACGCCCUUUGGGGGAAAGAUUUAUCGGGGAAGGAUUAGCCCGCGUUGGAUUAGGUAGUUGGUGGGGUAAUGGCCUACCAAGCCGACGAUCCAUAGCUGGUUUGAGAGGAUGAUCAGCCACACUGGGACUGAGACACGGCCCAGACUCCUACGGGAGGCAGCAGUGGGGAAUCUUAGACAAUGGGGGCAACCCUGAUCUAGCCAUGCCGCGUGAGUGAUGAAGGCCUUAGGGUUGUAAAGCUCUUUCAGCUGGGAAGAUAAUGACGGUACCAGCAGAAGAAGCCCCGGCUAACUCCGUG
rnacentral:rRNA from 1 species